ACAGCAAGACUGAAGCCAUUUCCUGGUCCUCGCCUUUCCUUUCCCUUCAGAAGAAACUGUGACGUGGGAAUUGGUUCCCGUACCCUCAUACCCAUGCUUCAGAUGGCUUGGCGCUCUGCCGGGGCCGUGCUUGCUUCUGCUCGUUCAGAAUAUGCUUGCUUGGCAUGUAUGGAGCUCUGGCUUCGACCCCUGGCGCUGCAUUAACUCGGUAUGAUGACAGAGCAGCAGUCCCAGAACCUCAGAGGACCACCAGGACCAGGAGUCCAAGGUUAUCACCGGCUACAGGGAGAGUCUGAGGGGGAUGCCUAGAAUUGAACCCAAGACCUCUCAUAUGCUAGGCAAUGUGCUCUACCACUGAACUGUGGUCCUGGCCCCAAGACUUCUGUGCAUAUGAGAUUCUCUAUUUUGUAUGCAGUUUACAUUAUACAAACAGAGUUGUCUUACACCUCAUUGUGCGCAGUGGCCAGAAGGCUGAAGCAAAGAGGUGCUCUCCACUCCAGCCCCACCUUCUAGCCCUUGGCCUGCGCAGAUCUGGGGAAUCAUCGUCAUACGAGAACCUCUCCUGACAAUGCCGGGCUUUCUUUCCCGGAAUCUUCGAGCUGGUUUGAAGCCCUGGAGCCCUCCCCGCAACCUGGCCGAUCUCAAGAUAAAUGAAUUUCACGAAAACUCUUCCCUGGAAAUCUACUUUCUAAUUUCAGAAAAGUUGUCAACAGACGACUAUGUUCCAGGAACCACAGACAAGCAGGAACCAACAUCGGCGUGAAGAGUUCUCUGUUUUCAUCCUGUAAGACAUCUAACAGAGUUGACAGAGCUAACGACUCAGUGCUGUGCUUUGUGAGAAUUCGAUAGUAACUCGAGAGCGGUUUUUAAAUAAAUGAUGGGAAUCAUAUUGUUGCCUUUA